UGCCGCUGCCCUCUGGUCCAAAAAUAAAACACAGCCUAGCAAAAUGUAGCGCACAGUGAGCUAUACACCACUAACAACACACAUUGGAGGAUCCUUUCACUGGAGCAAGAAGCCAUGCAUCAGAGGACUGUGGCCUAUGUGAAGACGAGGAAGGAGGAUCUUGCCCUGUCCUCGUGACUGAAAUGAGGUGGUGCUCAUCAUGACUGAUAAAUCUUUGGACACUGCAAUUUUCAUUUUUAUGGCUUACAAAGCAUAACUGCAUGCAGAAAAGACGUACUCUGCAGGACUUACACCCAUGGAGCACAGAUAAUAUCGACUAUUAGUUAUCAAUCAAACCAGUGGAGGAAUGUAAUGAAUUCAUACACCCAGGCGAGCAUGCCAUCAUAUGGGUGUGGCAGACAUAACGCAUCCAUAUUAUUGAUUCAUGUAGACGGUCAUUGGAUCCUCCAUCUUCAGUGCGGAUGCAGAAGUAUGUCUGACCUUCUGCAGGAAUCUCAGAGUAGCGAGCAUGGAGGGAAUGGAUGGGGACUGCCGAUAGGUGGCGCAUUGUGGGAAUGUGGGUCAGCCAUGAGCGUAAAGCCAGCGCUGGCACGCCAGUAGGGAACGACAGAGAAGAGAAGGCUGUGAGAAGAAGUCAGCCAAUAGCACAAGAACGCGAAAGCAGCGGCCCCUACGUCAAGAGGAUAUAAGCGCUUCGCCUGACUGGCAACGUCCACUUCAGUUGCAGCUUCAAGAUUAGCCACUUCGAUAGCAGCUUCAACGUUCGCCACCUCGAGAGCACUUCAGGACAGGCUUUUGUCAGUUAUAGAUCAGCAGUCACUGCAAAGUCUGACUAUUUCGUAUGUCGCCUUCGCUUGCGACACAUCUGUGUAAUU